rnacentral:siRNA from 1 species
GAUUCUUGCUGUUUCCAAGCAU